GACGAACGCUGGCGGCGUGCUUAACACAUGCAAGUCGAACGGAAAGGCCCUGCUUGCAGGGUACUCGAGUGGCGAACGGGUGAGUAACACGUGGGUGAUCUGCCCUGCACUUCGGGAUAAGCUUGGGAAACUGGGUCUAAUACCGGAUAGGAGCCAUCUUUAGUGUGGUGGUUGGAAAGUUUUUUCGGUGUAGGAUGAGCUCGCGGCCUAUCAGCUUGUUGGUGGGGUAAUGGCCUACCAAGGCGGCGACGGGUAGCCGGCCUGAGAGGGUGUACGGCCACAUUGGGACUGAGAGACAGGCCAGAGUCGUACGGGAGGCAGCAGGGGGGAAUAUUGGACGAUGGGCGCAAGCCUGAUGCAGCGACGCCGCGUGGGGGAUGAAGGCCUUCGGGUUGUAAACUCCUUUCGCUAGGGACGAAGCUUUGUUGUGACGGUACCUAGAUAAGAAGCACCGGCUAACUACGUG
rnacentral:rRNA from 1 species